rnacentral:rRNA from 1 species
GACGAACGCUGGCGGCGUGCUUAACACAUGCAAGUCGAACGGUGAAGCGCCUUCCUUUUUGGUGGGUGUGGAUGAGUGGCGAACGGGUGAGUAACACGUGAGUAACCUGCCCCCUUCUUCUGGAUAACCGCAUGAAAGUGUGGCUAAUACGGGAUAUUCUGGGUCUGUCGCAUGAUGGGUCUGGGAAAGAUAUUGUUUCGGUGGGGGAUGGGCUCGCGGCCUAUCAGCUUGUUGGUGGGGUGAUGGCCUACCAAGGCGGUGACGGGUAGCCGGCCUGAGGGGGUGGACGGUCACACUGGGACUGAGACACGGCCCAGACUCCUACGGGAGGCAGCAGUGGGGAAUAUUGCACAAUGGGCGCAGGCCUGAUGCAGCGACGCCGCGUGAGGGAUGGAGGCCUUCGGGUUGUGAACCUCUUUCGCCAGUGAAGCAGGCCUGCCUCGUUUGUGGGUGGGUUGACGGUAGCUGGAUAAGAAGCGCCGGCUAACUACGUG